GUUUCUGCUCAAAAAUACUGAUAAGUACUUAUGCAUCACCAAAAUAUUUUUCUUAAAUAAGAGAAAGAUAAUACUAUGUUUUGGAGAACAAAAUUCUGCUAAACCCAUAAAAUAAUUUUUGAACACAUACAAAGUGGGGAAGGUGAAGUUCACUUUGCAGUUGUAGUUCUGAGAUAUUUCGAAAAAUUUCAGACUAAGAGGAGAAUCUAGCAGGCAAAAAUAAAAAACAGUAGAAGGUAGGGGGUUUUUUCGCUGUUGUUCUUUAAUCUAUAGAUAAUGAUAAAAGCUACUAUUUGGAUAUUGACACAUAGUUGUUGUAUCCUGGGAUGCAAACCACUAAGCAUCUUUAAUAACAGUGUGUUUGCCACAGGUCAUAUACCACAUUCUAUGGUGGGCUUAAUACUACUUUGGGGGUAGCUAUAUAUCUUUGUUAACCUUUAAUAACAAAACAGUCCAGAAAUGAGUACCUAAGAUCUUUUUGUAAGUCUAUAAAAGGAUGUUCCACUUAGCACCAUUAAAUUUUAAGAUGUACCACUGUGCAUUCAUUCAUUCAGGAUUUUUUCUUCCAGGCACAAGAUCUAGAUGUAGAAGAACCAGAAAUGCAUAUGGCCAUGAGUAAUCCUCUCACGGUCUGUGGAGGAUUUUUCUACACAUCCAACCACUAUCAGUACAAACCUGAAAGCUACGGUGCACUCAGAAACAUAUAGUGAAGAAUGCAAUAAGUGACACAGAAAAAGGAACCGGAAAAAAAUCCAGACAGGAGUGAGUUCUUUAAGCAUGAAGAUGAAAUCUAGUUCAAGACCUGGCGUGGAGUAAGUGAUCACUAAGUGUUAAUGAAUAAAUGACUUUUCAAACAGUAAGUAUAGUAAACUGCAUUAUUAUAAUCUUUAUAUGUACCAUUUAAAGAAAACUUAAAACCCCCAAAUUAAAUUACUUUACAAUUUUAAAAAAUACAAGUGACUUGUAUUUUUCUCCUAAGUUCAGUAUCAGGUAUUAUCAGUCAGGCUUUCAGCUUUAUCUUGGAUUUCAACAAGUUUUGGAGUACACAUUUAAAACAAAUAUUUUUUGAGAAACCCUUUAUCAUUCAUUAUGCAGAAAAUGGAUGUUUGUCAUCUUCCCCAUGUUAUUUGCAAGAGAUUUAUUUUGAAUAGCUUUCUGAAAAGUAAAUAAAGUUAGUUUAGU